UACGUAGGGGGCAAGCGUUGUCCGGAUUUAUUGGGCGUAAAGAGCGUGUAGGCGGCCAGGUAGGUGGGUUGUGAAAACUGGAGGCUCAACCUUCAGAGGUCGACCCAAACCCCCUGGCUAGAGUCCGGAAGAGGAGAGUGGAAUUCCUGGUGUAGCGGUGAAAUGCGCAGAGAUCGGGAGGAACACCAGAGGCGAAGGCGGCGACCUGGACAGACACUGACACUCAACUGCGAAAGCGUGGGAGCAAACAGG
rnacentral:rRNA from 1 species